AAAAAUUAGGGACAACCACCGAUCCUCUCCCCAAAUACCGAGGCUGAGAAGAAAAUACCGAUGACGUAAGGGAAAAUGUCGAAGGAGAGCCAAAACCCAACGAUGAAGUACCGAAUGUAGAGACAGGGGGACCACCAACAGAUCGAUCAAAGUGAUAGUAGCAUCGCUGAGCCAGAUGCCUGAUCCAUCCGUAAAUCUGAAAUUAAGGUCGGCCACGACCACGAAACGACCCAUGAUUUCUAAGAGCAAAUGAAUUGAUGACACUUGAGCUAGACGGUGUACUAACAGAAACCCUUAACGCAGAACCAGAUGAGGAAGACUGCUGGACCAGAUUGGCUUGGGGAAGAACCUCCGUCACAAAUCAUUGUUGCCACAUUUCACAUUCGAGCAAAAUUUCGAUAAGCUGAUCUAAUGCCAGGGGUUCCAGUGAAAAAGAUGCUACAGUGACGACGGAGUCAAAAUCCUGCGAAAUACCCAUAAGAACGAUGUUUGUAUGUUCUUCAGCCGAGACAGGAUAACUAGACGCAUCAAGUAAGUCACAAAUUUUCUUGAUUUGACCCAGGUAUUCUUUUACAAACUGAUAACCUUUCUUGACCGAAUGAAGCUCGUGUUUGAGAAAUCUUGGCACUGGACGUUGCGCCGAAAAGACUGCAUGCUUUACUCCAGACAUUAUGAGCCGUAGCAGUUCCUGUAAAAGAGGACAAAAACUCUCCACUGAUCGUGGAUAAGAGCCAAGAAGUAAGCAAUUUUUCUUGCUGUUGAAACAAAAGAAAAGUAGAAUUAGGAAUCGACUUCCCUUCAGCAUCGUGAACAAACUUAGAUGGGGCAGAGAUCGUCUCGUGUAUAUAAUCGGUAAGCCCAUAGGCUUCGAUAAUAAGCGUUAGCUGGUGUUGCCACUGAACGAAUGUUUUGUCGGUAAGUUUAAUAGUGUCAUGUUUGGGAAAUGAUUGAACCACUCGACAAAACUGACUUUCAUCAAGGGCAGGAGAAGAGGAGGGCUGAGGAGCAGGGGUCGGCGAAGUGACCUGAUUGGUAGACACAGCUGGAGAAACAGGAUUCAUCAAAAACAACGAAAGCAGCCCAGGUAACUAAUUAGCGACUGAUACCAUGAAAGAAUACUUAUGAAAAAAUGUGAAAUUAUUAUUGCUUGAUCUGAAUGAACACCAAUCUGAUGUAUUUAUACACAAAUAGAUUAGCUAGAUAUGCAAACUUUUUAACAGGAAUAGUUGACCUCUAAUAUUCAGCAGCUGUUAACGAUCACAUUAACAUUUUAAUGGUCAAAGGCAAAUAUUGUUGGUAAAAGGGCUUCCUUGAUUAAUAUUUAACGUUUGAGGGCUUAACUCAGUGCAUUUUUCUUGGAGAGGCUUAAUUAAUUUUUGGGUUAAUGGCAAAAACACCUCUGUACUUUAUCAAAUCUUUCAAUGUGGUAUUUACACUUUCUAUUUGUCUAAUAUGGUAUCUGAACUUUUUAUUCCAUCUAUAUUUGUAGCACCUUUGACUAACUGUGUUAAUUUCUGAUACAAGUUGACACUUGUUCCAAU
rnacentral:lncRNA from 1 species